rnacentral:lncRNA from 1 species
UUCCGCCCAAAAAAACCAAGCACCAGGAAGAGCAGGAAGAUGUGAACAAACCUGCCUGGGGGGUCAGCUCUUCUCCUUGGGUAACCUUUGUCUAUGCGCUCUACCAAGUUAAAGAGCUGAUGCGACUGACAAGAGACAGCCGCGCUUCUGAGAUACAACCUUUACAGUUGCACAUGGGAAAGGAGAUGAAAGGGGAUCCAUGAGAAUCGGCAAGUCUCUCCAGCUGGUGGAGCCCAAUGUGCUCCACAUGAAACUCACUCCGACUCACCUAGAAACCAGCUAUCCCCUGACACAGCAGCAUCUCAAAUGCAGUCCAGCCCUGCUCACCCUAGUGCCACCCCACAUGGACAGGAGAGUGGACAACAGCAG